rnacentral:rRNA from 1 species
AAAUUGAAGAGUUUGAUCAUGGCUCAGAUUGAACGCUGGCGGCAGGCCUAACACAUGCAAGUCGAGCGGUAGCACAGAGAGCUUGCUCUCGGGUGACGAGCGGCGGACGGGUGAGUAAUGUCUGGGAAACUGCCUGAUGGAGGGGGAUAACUACUGGAAACGGUAGCUAAUACCGCAUAACGUCGCAAGACCAAAGUGGGGGACCUUCGGGCCUCAUGCCAUCAGAUGUGCCCAGAUGGGAUUAGCUAGUAGGUGGGGUAAUGGCUCACCUAGGCGACGAUCCCUAGCUGGUCUGAGAGGAUGACCAGCCACACUGGAACUGAGACACGGUCCAGACUCCUACGGGAGGCAGCAGUGGGGAAUAUUGCACAAUGGGCGCAAGCCUGAUGCAGCCAUGCCGCGUGUGUGAAGAAGGCCUUCGGGUUGUAAAGCACUUUCAGCGGGGAGGAAGGCGGUGAGGUUAAUAACCUCAUCGAUUGACGUUACCCGCAGAAGAAGCACCGGCUAACUCCGUGCCAGCAGCCGCGGUAAUACGGAGGGUGCAAGCGUUAAUCGGAAUUACUGGGCGUAAAGCGCACGCAGGCGGUCUGUCAAGUCGGAUGUGAAAUCCCCGGGCUCAACCUGGGAACUGCAUUCGAAACUGGCAGGCUAGAGUCUUGUAGAGGGGGGUAGAAUUCCAGGUGUAGCGGUGAAAUGCGUAGAGAUCUGGAGGAAUACCGGUGGCGAAGGCGGCCCCCUGGACAAAGACUGACGCUCAGGUGCGAAAGCGUGGGGAGCAAACAGGAUUAGAUACCCUGGUAGUCCACGCCGUAAACGAUGUCGAUUUGGAGGUUGUGCCCUUGAGGCGUGGCUUCCGGAGCUAACGCGUUAAAUCGACCGCCUGGGGAGUACGGCCGCAAGGUUAAAACUCAAAUGAAUUGACGGGGGCCCGCACAAGCGGUGGAGCAUGUGGUUUAAUUCGAUGCAACGCGAAGAACCUUACCUGGUCUUGACAUCCACAGAACUUAGCAGAGAUGCUUUGGUGCCUUCGGGAACUGUGAGACAGGUGCUGCAUGGCUGUCGUCAGCUCGUGUUGUGAAAUGUUGGGUUAAGUCCCGCAACGAGCGCAACCCUUAUCCUUUGUUGCCAGCGGUUAGGCCGGGAACUCAAAGGAGACUGCCAGUGAUAAACUGGAGGAAGGUGGGGAUGACGUCAAGUCAUCAUGGCCCUUACGACCAGGGCUACACACGUGCUACAAUGGCAUAUACAAAGAGAAGCGACCUCGCGAGAGCAAGCGGACCUCAUAAAGUAUGUCGUAGUCCGGAUUGGAGUCUGCAACUCGACUCCAUGAAGUCGGAAUCGCUAGUAAUCGUAGAUCAGAAUGCUACGGUGAAUACGUUCCCGGGCCUUGUACACACCGCCCGUCACACCAUGGGAGUGGGUUGCAAAAGAAGUAGGUAGCUUAACCUUCGGGAGGGCGCUUACCACUUUGUGAUUCAUGACUGGGGUGAAGUCGUAACAAGGUAACCGUAGGGGAACCUGCGGUUGGAUCACCUCCUUA